AAUGACCACUAGGGGUGCCUUUAAUAAGGCUGAGAUCAAAGUGUAACUUUGAGACUCUUAGAACCUGAUCUGGAUUAUACCAGCGUAGGGAAGUGGUGUUGCGGAGUC
rnacentral:ncRNA from 1 species